GUUUUAAAAUCAAACCGAUAGCAUACUACUAGUGACAAUGAGUGCUAAGAAAUGUUUUAAGUGUGAAAUAUGUCAACAAAGUUUCAGUCAGUCAUAUGACCUUAUUCAUCAUAUGAAUAUUCAUGAGGAAACAAUGACAUCAGCCAAUCAAAAGCAAGAAUUAAGCUCUUCAAAGAAGAAGUCAAAAGGCAAAGGUCGCGGUGAAAAGAAAGAGCCAGGAACCAAAACGGAGGAAGAGGGUCAGGAAACUGUGCUUUGUCCUUAUACAUGUAGAGAUUGUGGUGAAAAUUUCUCAGACAUUUACAGUUUAAGGCGACAUUUUGUUCAGAAUCAUCAGCAUAAUUAAGUUCAAUCUCCGUCUGUGAGUAACAUUAUGAACACAUGUUGCAGUAAUGUAAUAAUCUUAAUUUGAUACUUAGUAUACCAAGUGUUCCAUUAGGUUUCAAAAUUUGGAAGUAAAGAGACUGUAAAUUGUCUGACAUAGGAAGUCACAUUAGUAAAGAAGGAAAACUAAAGUAUUAUAUUGUCACAAGCCAAAAUCAAGGAGCAAAUGACUUUCAAACUUCCACUCAUGGAAGCCCUGGUAUACAUGAUUUAAAUAACCACAAAAUUUUGCUAUGUUUUCCCAGGACAUUGAUACCAUUCUUUUUCAAAACUGACUAUGUUCUCUUCUGUUGAUAAAUCAAUAUUUGUAUUGUAAUAAUCCCUCAAAUUUUUAAAGACUGUUCUUAAUUCAAUACAAAAAUCUGGAAACAAAGUGAUCCCUCGGAAGCAGUAAUCACAACAAAAUUACAAGAGAAUUGCAGACUCGGUUUGAUCAGUCUGUACAUGAGGGAUAAUGAAUUAGUGCAACAUCCCUCAUGCUUCCAACACUGGCUUGAGUGGUACUCAAUUCUCAACACUUAAUAGUGCUGGCAUCAACAACACUGAAGUGAAGUACAGGGCAACUUUUUACAGCUGCCACACGGCUAUUGACACCUGCUGUUUUGAAGGCAAAUCAAUUACAAAUUUUCUGGAAGAUAAGGUUACUUGGGCUAAUGCACACCAUGGGUCUAAGCAUCCCUGAAAGAACCAAGCUGACUCUGUUGGAAGAGCUUGGAAAGGUCAAUGGAAAAGAAGUCCUUGCUGCUCUCAAUCAAGGAAAAACAUUGAAGAUAACCGUUGACAACAUUGAUGGAAGGAUUAAAGCUAAUCAGGUGAGGUUGGAAAGUGGGAACAGAGAUUUUCACUACACACACUGGUCUGUCAUUAUAGACAGAUUUAACCCCAGAGACCUGAAGGACCUCAGCAUUGAACCAAAGGCACUUCCUUUUGGUGGAC